GAUGAACGCUGGCGGCGUGCCUAAUACAUGCAAGUCGAGCGAACAGACGAGGAGCUUGCUCCUCUGACGUUAGCGGCGGACGGGUGAGUAACACGUGGAUAACCUACCUAUAAGACUGGGAUAACUUCGGGAAACCGGAGCUAAUACCGGAUAAUAUAUUGAACCGCAUGGUUCAAUAGUGAAAGACGGUUUUGCUGUCACUUAUAGAUGGAUCCGCGCCGCAUUAGCUAGUUGGUAAGGUAACGGCUUACCAAGGCAACGAUGCGUAGCCGACCUGAGAGGGUGAUCGGCCACACUGGAACUGAGACACGGUCCAGACUCCUACGGGAGGCAGCAGUAGGGAAUAUUGGACAAUGGGCGCAAGCCUGAUCCAGCCAUACCGCGUGGGUGAAGAAGGCCUUCGGGUUGUAAAGCCCUUUUGUUGGGAAAGAAAAGCAGCAGGUUAAUACCCCGCUGUUCUGACGGUACCCAAAGAAUAAGCACCGGCUAACUUCGUG
rnacentral:rRNA from 1 species